UCUGUAACUGACGCUGAGGCGCGAAAGCGUGGGGAGCAAACAGGAUUAGAUACCUGGUAGUGCACGCCGUAAACGAUGAGUGCUAAGUGUUAGAGGGUUUCCGCCCUUUAGUGCUGCAGCUAACGCAUUAAGCACUCCGCCUGGGGAGUACGGUCGCAAGACUGAAACUCAAAGGAAUUGACGGGGGCCCGCACACGCGGUGGAGCAUGUGGUUUAAUUCGAAGCAACGCGAAGAACCUUACCAGGUCUUGACAUCCUCUGACAACUCUAGAGAUAGAGCGUUCCCCUUCGGGGGACAGAGUGACAGGUGGUGCAUGGUUGUCGUCAGCUCGUGUCGUGAGAUGUUGGGUUAAGUCCCGCAACGAGCGCAACCCUUGAUCUUAGUUGCCAGCAUUUAGUUGGGCACUCUAAGGUGACUGCCGGUGACAAACCGGAGGAAGGUGGGGAUGACGUCAAAUCAUCAUGCCCCUUAUGACCUGGGCUACACACGUGCUACAAUGGAUGGUACAAAGGGCUGCAAGACCGCGAGGUCAAGCCAAUCCCAUAAAACCAUUCUCAGUUCGGAUUGUAGGCUGCAACUCGCCUACAUGAAGCUGGAAUCGCUAGUAAUCGCGGAUCAGCAUGCCGCGGUGAAUACGUUCCCGGGCCUUGUACACACCGCCCGUCACACCACGAGAGUUUGUAACACCCGAAGUCGGUGGAGUAACCGUAAGGAGCUAGCC
rnacentral:rRNA from 2 species